UUCCCUCCACCGCCAAGUUUUCCUCAUCCAUUUUUUCACCAUUUUCUUCACCAUUUAUGCAUCAAAUUUCAGAGGGACUUUAAAGGAAAGAAGGCUGAGAAAGGAAGAAGAAGAAGUUCAAGAAGUGUUUGUUGAAGAAGACAAGGAGUUUACAAGAUCAACUUCUUUAUAGUUCACUAAGCACAUCUCUGGUUUUUCAUUGAUUUCGAGCUACACAAAUAGAAUUAAGAGGUAGAGAUCGAGUUCCCGGUGUCUGGUAGACUUCCUUAGUAUGUUGAAGCUUCGAUAUCGAUUGCAUUACGUGGUUAGAGUUGUGCAUAGAGUUCUUUGUGUUAUGAUGUAUACAUCUUUGUAUGAUAUAAAUACUUUAUAGUUUGGGCAAAUUUAGGAGCUACGGUUGUGUAAACCUUUUUGGGUUAUGUUUUGGUUAAGGUGCCUCCAUGUUUACUUGCACAAUGGGUUAUUUUUGGGCUACGCUUCAUGUAUGUUUAUGAUUAGUCUAGGAUCCACUGUGUUAUGUUGCAUGUACAAUAGUUUAUAUACUAGAUUAGCAAGUUUAUCACGUUAAAGA